rnacentral:rRNA from 1 species
UACGAAGGGGGCUAGCGUUGCUCGGAAUUACUGGGCGUAAAGGGCGCGUAGGCGGUUUGGUAAGUUAGGCGUGAAAUUCCAGGGCUCAACCUUGGGACUGCGCUUGAUACUGCUGAACUUGAGGAUGGAAGAGGGUCGUGGAAUUCCCAGUGUAGAGGUGAAAUUCGUAGAUAUUGGGAAGAACACCGGUGGCGAAGGCGGCGACCUGGUCCAUUACUGACGCUGAGGCGCGACAGCGUGGGGAG